rnacentral:lncRNA from 1 species
GGCCUGGCGCGUCCGCCGAGCGCGGGGGUUUGUUUAUUUUCCCGGUUGGUAGCGGCGCUGGCGCUGGUUAGAGGUUCGCCGGUGACGUGAGCGCCCGAGUUGGGGGAGAGGACCAGAACCACCUGCUGGAGAAAGGGAGCUACGGGGGCCGGGCAGGGUCCAAACGCCUCACGUGGGCGGCGGCGCCACGGUCUUCGGGGUCACAGGGAAGAGAAGGGCUCUCCUCAAGCGGGUGGAAGGAGGGAGGCCUCCCGAGGGAAUGAGACUCCAGGCCACUCCCCCGCAGCAAGGCAGGAUCACCUGCGUCGCGGAGAGCAGUUAGAGGUCCCUGGAGUGGAAAAGGGCAGUGGGACCUGGUAGCUUGGGUUCCCUGCAACUUGGGGUUCGACCUCCAGGCAAUGAAGUAGGGAUGGUCCUGCAAGUCAAGAUUCCAGUAGCAAGAGUGCAUCAGAUCUCUGUAAGGAAAAUAACUAACAUUGCUCAGUUCCCUGUAGAGUUGCAGGGCGCUUUGACGUUAUCUCCCUUGGUUCUCCAUCAGGUCGUAGUGGACUAAUUUUACAGGCGAAGUUAAGUGACUUACCCAAAACCUCACAGCUAAUAAACGGCAGAGCCGGCACCCAGCUGUACUGGCUUCCAGCGCAUCCCAUUAUCUCCAUAAAUCCCCCUGAUUCAACUAAUAUUAGACGCCCCACAGGUAAGAUGCUUCAGAGUUAGAGGGGAGUUGAAGAUACCUUUGCCUUCAAAGAAGUAAGGAAUGAAACAAAGAUAAAACAGACAAUAAAAGACAAACCAUGAUAGGUGCCACGUGAAAAGUGGCAGAGUACUGCCGGGAAUCAAAGAACCGUGUAUAUCUGUCUUGGGGAUAAGGAAAGAAACGCAGCAUGAAGGAGUAGGCAUUUGGGAUUGACCUUGAAGGAGACAGGGAGAGUUUUACAGCAAGAAGGGAUAGCAUGAGAAUAUAUAUGAAGGCGAAUCAGUGAAAGUUGUGUUGGGGAAAGAGCAAAGACUCCAGGUAUGUUGAGAGGUAGAAAAGACAAAGGAGUAUGGGGCCUAAGAUACCAAAUGGAUGAAUUUAUAUUUAAUUCAGUAUUUUGAGUUUUUAUGGUUCAGAAGUUUGGGGGAAGAAAAGGAAGGUUUUUUUUUUCUUUAUGCUAGUGAUUUAUCUGUGAAGGGAAGCAGAAAUCAGAGGUGGAAAAACUGACAGAUCUACUGUAGGCCAGGUAAAAGGUAAUGAUGAGUCUGACCUAAAGGGACAGCCAGGGGAAUUUAAAGAGCAUAGUUGAGAGAUGAUGUGCAUGCAGAAUCUAUAGAAUUUGCUAACUGAUUGAUUAAUUGUGGGUAGGAAGAGAGAAAUCAAAGAAAGUGGAGGUUUUGAGUUUCUAGAUAAUUGCAAGAGAGAAAAGAGACAAUUACAAAGGAAAGGAGAAGGAGCUACUUCUUGAGAGAAGAUCAGUUUAGAUUUAGACAUUUUAAGAAUUCAAAGGGUUGUCAAGACAGCCAGACGGACAUGGACACUAAUAAGUUAGAAAUAAAGGUUUUGUAAUAUGGGAAAGAGGACUGAGCUAGAAAAUAGACUCAUAGAUAAUCAGCCUAGGAGUGAUAUUGCUGUGAGAUAAAAGAAGAAAACAAAGUCAGAAUCUUGGAAAACACCCUCUUCAGAGUCUCGCUGCUCAAAACGUGGUCAGUGGCCCAGCAGCACUGACAUGAGGACCUUAGUUGGAAACUCAGAAUCUCAGGCUCCACCCCAGACCUGCUGAACCAGCAUCUUCAACUUAACAAGAACCCGAAGAGAUUUGUGCCACAUCAAAAAGUUUGAGAAGCUCUGAUCUAGGUGAGCCAAGCCAGCAAAGAAAGGGGGUGGAGCAGAAAAUGGGAGGAGAAUAGGGUAAUGCAGAAUCAUCAAGACAAGGUAAAUUGGACUUUCACAAAAACGGGGCUGGAAGGAGUGUUGCUCAACAAUAUCCAAAACCACAGAGGUUGAAAAGCACAAGGAAAGAAGGUAUGUUUGCACUUUGUGAUUAGGUAGUAGGGUCUUUAAGACCACAUUGUUCUCAUUGAAAGCCUGGGAAGAAAGAUCCCCUUUCUGGUCAAGGUUAGUCUAGGGAUCCAUCCCCUCUUCCCCAGUUCCCACGUAUAUGGGACAUGUCGAGAUAAGUAGAUAGAUUGGACAGUGGGAGAAAGUAGUUCUCUUCCAGUUGCUUCUAUUUUCUCAGCAAAGUGAGGAACAAGAUCAUUUUGGCAGACUGCUAAUUGUCCAUCAUAAUUUAGUCUCCCCUUCUCCCUGAAAACACAGACUGCUUUUCUCAGCCUCUCUUUCAGUUGCAUAUGGUCAAGUAUUAAGUUAUAGAACAUGAGCAGAUGUUAUGUCUGCCACUGUCAGGCCAAGGCGUUUACUUUGAGAGUACUUGUGCCUCUUUCAUACAUUUUCCUUUCUGCCAGCUGGACCCUGGACACGGUGACUCUGAUUCAAUUAUGCAGAUGACCACAAGCCUCUGGGGUUGGCAGAGCCACAAGAAAGAAGGUGCCUGGAUGAAGGAGAGCUACCCACUGACCUGGACACCCAAUUAUGUCAUAGGUGCUGCAAUCUAGAGACAAAAUAUUCCUUACACUGCCAGAUACUUGCAAACUAAGGGGAACGAGCUUCCCUCUGAAUGUUUAUGAAGGAGAGACCACUGUGUCAUCUGUCUUAGAGCUAUUGGAAUCCUGGAUCAUUGUGGGAAAUGAAAAGAACUGGUUUUUAGCAAGGAGACCAAGAAACUCUACUCCCUAGGGGCUAGCAAUGAGAGAAAGGAAGCCUUGAGUCUUUGAGCACAGGGUGACAGUUUGGGUCCUAUGUGAGAUGAUCAAAUCCACAGCAACAGAGGAAAGGACAAAAGGAAAAGAUACUUCGAUGGAAUCAGCAGCCAUUGAUCCAAUGCCAACUCCAAGACUGGAACGUCGCAAUGAUAGUUCCAAGGCGGAAAUUUGACGUAAUUCUUUUCGACACAGUUUUACAGGUCUGGAUGCCCAUUUUAAUUCUUCUGAAAGCAUGCCUCCUUCUGGCUUCAGGACUCCAUCUCCAGCCUUAUGAUCUAAAAAUAAUCCCCAAACCAAAAAAUUAGAUAUUAUUUCCUCAAAAUUAGGUGUUUUAAUCAAAACAUCUUAACAUAAAUACAUUAUUAUCACCCAAUAUGCAUAAUGUUGUUCAACUUUUUUGUUAAAUGACUUAUUUUAGAUGAACAGAUGUGUGAAUAUGAAUAUUUUUAUUUCA